UGCAUGUAUGAAUGUGCACCACCCGGAUGCC
rnacentral:piRNA from 1 species